rfam:Toxocara canis scaffold806, whole genome shotgun sequence.
GCGGCAAUAGCUCAGUGGUAGAGCCCCGCUUCGCAUGCGGGGAAAGCUCGGUUAGAUUCCCGGUUGCUUCC